rnacentral:rRNA from 1 species
UACGGGGGGGGCAAGCGUUGUUCGGAAUUACUGGGCGUAAAGGGCUCGUAGGUGGCCAACUAAGUCAGACGUGAAAUCCCUCAGCUUAACUGGGGAACUGCGUCUGAUACUGGAUGGCUUGAGAUUGGGAGAGGGAUGCGGAAUUCCAGGUGUAGCGGUGAAAUGCGUAGAUAUCUGGAGGAACAUCGGUGGCGAAGGCGGCAUCCUGGACCGGUAUUGACGCUGAGGCGCGAAAGCCAGGGGAGCAAACGGG